rnacentral:tRNA from 1 species
AUUUAUAUAGUUUAUCACAAAACAUUACAUUUUCAUUGUAAAAAUAAAAUAUAAUAUUUUUAUAAAUA